rnacentral:rRNA from 1 species
GACGAACGCUGGCGGCGUGCUUAACACAUGCAAGUCGAACGGUAAGGCCCUUCGGGGUACACGAGUGGCGAACGGGUGAGUAACACGUGGGUGAUCUGCCCUGCACUUCGGGAUAAGCCUGGGAAACUGGGUCUAAUACCGGAUAGGACCACUGCCUGCAUGGGUGGUGGUGGAAAGCUUUUGCGGUGUGGGAUGGGCCCGCGGCCUAUCAGCUUGUUGGUGGGGUGAUGGCCUACCAAGGCGACGACGGGUAGCCGGCCUGAGAGGGCGACCGGCCACACUGGGACUGAGACACGGCCCAGACUCCUACGGGAGGCAGCAGUGGGGAAUAUUGCGCAAUGGGCGAAAGCCUGACGCAGCGACGCCGCGUGAGGGAUGAAGGUCUUCGGAUUGUAAACCUCUUUCAGUAGGGACGAAGCGAAAGUGACGGUACCUAAAGAAGAAGCACCGGCUAACUACGUGUCAGCAGCCGCGGUAA